rnacentral:piRNA from 1 species
UCCAAAAUUUCCUAUUUGUUUCCUCUGAUGU